GGCCGUGUGGCGUAAUGGCAACGCGCUAGUUUCCGGUGACGCUGAAAAUUCGUUACAUCUAGUAGAGCUAGAGACUGUGGGUUCGAGUCCCACCAUGGUCG
rfam:Gymnopus luxurians FD-317 M1 unplaced genomic scaffold GYMLTscaffold_9, whole genome shotgun sequence.